rnacentral:misc_RNA from 1 species
UUUCCGUAGGUGAACCUGCGGAAGGAUCAUUCAUAGUAAAGUGUUUUAUGGCACCUUUUAAAAAUCCAUAUCCACCUUGUGUGCAAUGUUAGAUCUCGUCAAUCUUGGCGAGAUUUUUAUACAUCAACUCAUUCUUUAACUAAUUUGUCUGAAAAAUAUUAUGAAUACUUAAUUCAAAAUACAACUUUCAACAACGGAUCUCUUGGCUCUC